UACAGAGGGUGCAAGCGUUAAUCGGAAUUACUGGGCGUAAAGCGUGCGUAGACGGUUGCGUAAGUCAGAUGUGAAAGCCCCGGGCUCAACCUGGGAAUUGCAUUUGAGACUGCGCAGCUAGGGUGCGGAAGAGGGAAGCGGAAUUUCCGGUGUAGCGGUGAAAUGCGUAGAUAUCGGAAGGAACACCAGUGGCGAAAGCGGCUUCCUGGUCCAGCACCGACGUUCAGGCACGAAAGCGUGGGGAGCAAACAGG
rnacentral:rRNA from 1 species